UAAAAAAUAAAUUAAAUUUAAAAAAACAAAAAAAUUAUUAGUUUCAGGUGUACAACAAUGAUUCAAUGUUUAUAUAUAUUACAAAAUGAUCAUCACAACAAAUCUAGUUAACAACCAUCACUACACAGAGUUACAAGUUAUUUUCCUCUUGUGAUGAGAACUUUUAAGCUCUGUUCUCUUAGCAACUUUCAAAUAUGCAAUACAGUAUUAUUAACUGUAUUAUUACUGUAACUGUGUAAUGCCAUGCUGUACAUUACAUCCCAGGACUUAUUUAUUUUAUAACUGGAAGCUUUACCUUUUGAUCCCCUUCACCCAUUUCAUCCCUCCCACUCCCCGCCAUGGGCUUUUUAAUUCAGUGGCGGGGGGCUGGGGGGAUGCUCUCAAAGUAGAGAAGAAGCUGGGGACGACCAGAAGCGUGGUUGCUUCCUGAGUGUGUGUGUGUUCUUAAUGUCUCUGUGGUUCUUGUCAACAGUAUUAAUGUCAUAUUUUUAGCUCCUCUGUUUAUGAUUUUGGCAGAAAGAAUACGGCAGAUUAUGUGAGAAGAAUUUCUAAAUUCCAUCAGAGCCCUGGCUGCGAAGGAUAAAGCCAAGUAUAAAAAAGGAUAAAGUGCUUUUAUUUGCUUCAUCGUUAUGAAUUCAUUGGGCCUCAUAGGCCCAAAAUGUUGGCACAUUUUCCAUAAACAUUAAGCAAGCUACUAAUUAUUGACAUUAGACACAGCAGUGCUCUGGCUUCACUAAGGCAGUGAAUCAGGCCACUCUUUGUAUUUUACAACUAUGGUUUAAAAUGUUUUAGCAUCAUAUUUAUACCCCAGCUCCUGAAGGCAUUAAUUAAGACAACUGCUCAAAGACUAGCAUUGUAAAUCAUGUCCAUAUCCAAUGGGUAAAGUCAGAGAAUUAUAGGGACUUGCAAGGAAUUUAUGUCUACUUUCCACCGCUUCUGAAACUCCUUUUUUAUUUUGAAAGGGGAAAUUAGUGGAGAGAGAGAAAAGCUUGAGGGAAAAAUGAUUCUUGUAAAACAGGACUACCACUAAUUAUAUUUUCAGGACAUCAUUAAAUGCAGCUCGACAAAAAAAUUGAAAUGUUUGAUAGCUGCAGGAAAAAAAAAUCUGUUAUCUGUAUUAUUAUUAUUAUUGCCAAAGUAGCUGUACUCCCUUUAAAAGCUAUUAUGUAAAAUGUUUUUCGUUUAAGCAUCAUUGAGCAGAGAGGCAUGGGAAGGCCCAGUAGUGAAAUCACCAGUGGACUUGGAGGCAUUUAGGGAAGCAUGAAGGCAGCUUUUGAGAACCUCAGUGUCUAAAGCCAGGAUUAGACACUAUAGAGGACAUUAUUGGGUCACUUCACAAAAAUGGAAUAUGAAUUGACAUAAAAGUAUUAUAUCAGUGUUAAAUUUACUGACAUUGAUAACAGUACAGUUUUCUGAUAACAUCCUUAUCACAGCAGCCCGGGUGAGUGAAAAAAGAAUAUCUGUCACCCCAGAAGCUGGGUACUCCUUAGGGUAUGGUGUUUUGAAAGAAGGUAGCAAGGCUUGUAAAACAAAUAAACAAAAACCUAGUUUUUAACCGACUAAUGAGCAUGAUAUAAUAUAGGAUAUUGUCUAUCAUUAUUUAUUCUAAUAAGUUAAACCAUGGAAUCAUUCAACACAAUGAACAGAAGGUUGCAUUUUCAUCUUUAUACAUUUUAGUAUUUUAGCCUUAAUCACGUGAUAGCCGUGAGUGGUCAAUUACGUUCAUAUCAAAUUGCAGCCUGUGAGGAUUUAAAGAGCUCAGUUUACAUUCUUUUGAAAAUGAGCUUUGUGUGGUUUUUAAAAACUUUUAACCUCUGAAGAUACUAAGAUCUCCCUCUGUCUUUCCUGGUCUUUCAUUUCUUUGCGUUUAUUCGUUAGAAGGUAGAAAUGUACAGUUAACUUGGUGCUGACCUCUUGUAUUCUCAUUCAUCAGACAUGCAUUUCCCUCGAUUAUCAGUUUCUUUCCAAACAACUUAAUCAGAAUUUCAGAACCCCUCUCAUUUUAAAUUUCAAAUUCUAAUUACUUAAUUGAGCUAUUAAAUUUUUCAAAUUUGUUUUCCAUUCUUUGUCCAUAUUCUGGGGGCAGAAGCUUUUCUUCUGUCCCCCGUGUAGGGAGCAUAGCGGGUAGAGCGUGGACCAAACCCCCUCUUCUCCACUGUCCCCUCCCCUGCCCUGCAGCAGGGGGAUGCCAGGUCUGACUCUCACUGCCUUCAUCUUUCUCGUCUCAGAGACCCACAGCCUGCAUGCACGUGUGCCAGUUUGAAGGACCUGGGGCUCUGCACCCCAGCUGACCUUUACAGGAUCCGUGAAACACAGAUGCCACUUUAAUGCCGAGACCCUGUGAACCACAGUAAAGUUGGACUCUGUCAGUAGCAAGGGAUGUGUUUCUUCAGGAAAAAGCUGGAACUGGGACAGCGUCAGUAACUGCAGCAGCUCUGGCCUCUCUGCCGUGAGCCACCCGGCAUCUCCUGUGACCCCAUUUCCCUCCCAGCCAGCUUCCUCUGCGUAUUUUUAGGCUUUCUUUCCCUGAUAACUUGGUCUUACAUGGGGCUUUGGCUUGCCGUGACCUCUUCUACUUUAACUUCAUAUCAAACGUUUCAGGUUUUUCCAAGCUGCAUUUGAUGAUGUCCUGAUAAUAUAAUCAGUGAUAACCUUGUUUUACAAGCAAUCAGCUUCUAUUCCUUCCACGCUUUUCUUUGAAAAUUUACAUGAGACUGGGUGAGGCAGAGUAUAAGAACAUGAGUGUGUCUGGUGGACCUCGCUCAGCUCCUGCAACCAGCCACGUCAUAGCUGCUGACCUGCUUAGGGAGGCCUGCCCAGGCUGGGUGGGUGGGUCACUUGCUCUGCAGGGAAGCCCCUUCCCCAGAGCUAUUCUCUUCAGAAGAGGCAUGGGCGGAAGCAUGGCAGAGACUUGGAUAGGACAGCCCAGCAAAAACCAUCUUGCUCCUCCCUACUCAGAGUUAACCGUUUACUGACUGAAUUUACCCACAUGAACUACUGUCUUGACUCCAUCUAUACAGGGCCUAAGUAAUAAUGGAAGGUGAACUUGAAACCAAGUAAGAGAUCUCUUUCUGGGAGGCUGGUGGGUUUUGUUUCGUUUCCUUCAGGUGUUGCUGGCUCCGGCUGUCAGUGACUUUGAGGUUGGCAUCAGCUCCUCGAGCUUCCCCUGGGAUCUUUACCCUGGAUAGAUGCCUGUCCUAGGCGUUCUUUCAUGAGUUAUAAAAACUUAUUUUUGAGUGUCUCCUCUGGAUCAGGCAUUGUGCUUGGCCUUGGGAACAUAAAAUAGUAAACAAAACAGACUCAACUCCUACUUCGUGGGGAUUAAGUCUAAUGGGAGAAGUAGGCAUUAAAUAAAUCACUGUACCAUUACCGUUGAUGGGUGCUAUGUGAAGGGUGUGUGAGCCACCACAUUUAAGCUGAGACCCGAAGGCUGUUAGACAUAGUCACUCAAAGGAGGGGAGGAAGAAUUUCAGGCAGAGGGAACACAGCCCGAUCCCAAUCCGUGGUCGUGUCUAGAACAUUGCCUUGUUCCUGAGAAUGUUGAGUGUGGCCAUGCCUGGGCUUUUUUUUUUUUUUUUUUUUUUUAAAUAUACAUUCAUUUGCUUUAUUUUUUAGAUUCCACAUGUAAGUGAUAACAUAGAGUAUUUGUCUUUCUGUCUGUGGGCAUUCUUAAAUGACCCACUCCCACCAGGUCAUGAGCUCCUGUAGAGCAGGGACUUCCAGUACAGGGCUCAUGGUAGGCACUUAAUAAAUAUGUAUUUAGUAAAUAAGAGGGGUUGGUCAUAGACAGUCUUUGAGCCACUUUCUGUUAGACUAUUUUUAUAUUAAAAUACGACAGAUUGCUCAUGAAAAGGUCUGAAGUAACUUGAUUUUUCAAAAGCUGCUUCCCCAGCGAGGCUGGCUGGUGGCCACCCUUGGAGAACGCUGUUUGUCAGGUCAGCACGUCCUCGCCCUGCCUCUCCUGCUGUUUUCCACGCUGUGUUCUUUACCCUGUUGGCUUAGCAUGGAGUUAGAGAAGCUGGCCAAUGGGACACGGAAGCUAUGUCCAGGAGUGUGUUUUCUGGGCUUUUGCAGAGAUGAAGCCUCCUCACAGCUGUUGAGCAAAGCAAAGCAUCCGCUCUCUAGACAACUUGGGAAGUUCCGCUGCAUAGAUAUGUGUUCCGCCAAGUAUUGUGCUAAGCACUGAGGUUGCAAAGCUGAGCAUGAUGAGUUCCUUGCCCUCCAAGAACCAGAGGAGCAGAGUGUGGGGGGACUGUGGUGGAGAAUUGGGCCAGCGGGAGCACCUACACCAGACUGAGCUGUUCUGAGUAAGAGGGAAUGGCUGGGCCCCAGUAAUGACCCUGAAUUUCUAAACCCAUGGAGUGUAUAAACUUCACUGCAUAUAUCUUGUGCCAUCUGUUUUGCCUGCAGAGGCCAUUUCCUGUGUCUGUCAAGUUCUAGAUAGUGAGAGCCUGUCAUGAGCUGAGCUUCAGGUAGAUGAGGUCUUACCUGACAUCAAUGGUCCUAUUUUUUUUUUUUUUU